UAAAAAUGUAUAUUUUUUGUUUUGUUUUGUUUUUUUUCAUUGGGUGAAAAGUGGACAACAAAUUUUCUUUUAGGACGACAAUGGCCUUGAUAACACUUAUAGGCACCAGGCCACGGACCACGUGCCAGGUAGCUCCGAGCGCCAGUAUUGAACAUAAAAAAAUGACCCAUAACUACUAACGGCACUAGAAAUUAUUGUACAGCUUAUUAUAUCAUUUUCAGUAAAAAUAAGAAGACUGUAAACACCGUUAUAUUUUCGAAGAAUAUAGAAAUCUUAUCGAUAAAUUUAAUAACUUAAAAAAGAAUCAUUUCAACUGUGGAUAUCCAUAAUUCUAGGAUGUUUUCCACAUUGAAUCAUUCGAGAAAAGUUAAGUGAGGCCCAAUAUUGUUGCUCACCCUUUGGGGAAACGUGAAACAGAUUUAGGUUAAACACUAUGUGUGCAAACUACUAAGAACCGUUCAUCACAUUGUUAU